rnacentral:lncRNA from 1 species
AGAACCCAUUUUAGUUCUGUCUUUCAGCCUAGCACACUCCACAUUCUCAGACAUCGCUUCUUGAGAGUGUACUAACCAUCAACUAUCAUUUCACAAUGGAGAAGCUGGCUAUGACCAUGUGACUAAGCUCUCACUAAUGGAAGGGUAGGCUGGAACUUGGAUGUGCAUUGGCAGGUCUGCAUUGGCAGACCAGAUGUCACCAUACAGACAACAAUAUCCUACAGGACAGAAAAGCUUGAAAGUAAAAGAAACUUUGGUGUUUGAAUAAACCACACAUUUGUCCUGGACAACCUGCCUAUCGUUGAACUGUUACAUGAGAGAAAAAGAGAUUUCUCUCUUAUUUGAACAAUUGCAUUUUCAAGUCUUUUUGUUACAGCAGCAUAACUGAUACCCUAACCCUGACAAAUACAUUUUUAAACAAAAGGAGGAAUGCUACUAUCGUACUCUAUGCUGGUCCAGUCUUACUUGGGGUGCAGUAUUCUCAUCUGUGAAUCACAUUUCAAGGGGCCUAAAGACAAAGUAGAAGUGUUCAGAUAACAGCAACAUGAUUGGUGAGAAAUUCAAAGUUGAAGAAACUGGAAGAGCAGAUUUAGAGUAAGUAGGAGUGCCACUUUCAAAUGUCUGAGGAACUGGCCUGUGAAAGAAUGAUUCACUUUGUUCUGUGUAGUUUCAGUAGAUAGAAGUAUGGUUCAACGGGAAAACUGAUUUUGCUGAAGAGAAAGAUUUCUGGCUGUCAGGUCUGCAUAGACAUUGGAGGCACUGAGUUCCCUGCUCAUGGAGAUAUUUUUCACAGAGCCUGGAUAAUCAUUUGGCUGGAUUUGUAACAACUGUGUAUCAUACAGCAUGAAAAUGCAUUUUCUAGCUUCCCUUGAAGUGAAAUGUGAGCAAAAAUGAUGCCAGCCACUCCCAGACCGGCCCAUAGAAACCUCCCAUAUUCUUUCUUCUUCUGCUGCUGGAUAUUGACACAGGGGAUGACUUUGAAAGCUGAGUAUUGAAGAUGGCAGAAGCUGUCUUUCAGCCUUGGUCCCUGAACAACAUGUUGAGCAGAUCCCGUGGUAAUCUGGAACUGCCCUGGACUGUGUAAAGGAAUCAACUUCUUUAUACAACAAUGGCAGAGAAGUUCUACAAUAUGGAGUCCUGUGAUAAAAGGGGACUCCUGAGAGACUACUUGGUGUCUGCCUUGGAGCCAGAAACUCCUGACCACUCUCUGGCAAACUCAGGCGUGAUUCUUUCCUUGCUAAGCCUCAGUUUCUUCAUCUACAAAGGGAGG